AAUAGAUACCCGGGUAGUCCACGCCGUAAACGAUGAGUGCUAAGUGUUAGAGGGUUUCCGCCCUUUAGUGCUGUAGCUAACGCAUUAAGCACUCCGCCUGGGGAGUACGGCCGCAAGGCUGAAACUCAAAGGAAUUGACGGGGGCCCGCACAAGCGGUGGAGCAUGUGGUUUAAUUCGAAGCAACGCGAAGAACCUUACCAGGUCUUGACAUCCUCUGACACUCCUAGAGAUAGGAUUUUCCCCUUCGGGGGACAGAGUGACAGGUGGUGCAUGGUUGUCGUCAGCUCGUGUCGUGAGAUGUUGGGUUAAGUCCCGCAACGAGCGCAACCCUUGAUCUUAGUUGCCAGCAUUUAGUUGGGCACUCUAAGGUGACUGCCGGUGACAAACCGGAGGAAGGUGGGGAUGACGUCAAAUCAUCAUGCCCCUUAUGACCUGGGCUACACACGUGCUACAAUGGAUGGUACAAAGGGCUGCAAGACCGCGAGGUUUAGCCAAUCCCAUAAAACCAUUCUCAGUUCGGAUUGCAGGCUGCAACG
rnacentral:rRNA from 1 species